GUGUCAGGGAAGAGUUAGAAGUUUCCAGUUUCUCAGAGGGAGAAAGCAUUCACCAAGGGGGGAAGGAGAGCAGUGAAUCUAACAGAAGAGAGCAAGAGGAACAACAGGGAGGGACUGGCUGUUCACAGGAAAGGCAAGGGUUAAGUUCUAGCUCAGAUUCGGAGGAGGGGAGAUACAAGCCAGCUCUAGCCAGGAGGUUAGAAAAAAGAGCGGGAAAGCGAAGGGAAGGGCGCCUUCGCCAUUUUGAGAGUGGCUGGUCAUGGAGAAGCAGAGCUCAGAAGGUAUCUGAAAUAAGUGACUCUGAGGAAUAGUAGUUAAGAACCGUUUAUAAGAAUGUUUUGUUAAUACGCAAUAAAAAGUUUUAUAAAAGAACAAGAAGUGUUUGUGUGGUGAUCUGAAGAGGACA
rnacentral:lncRNA from 1 species